UGGGGAAUAUUGCACAAUGGGCGCAAGCCUGAUGCAGCCAUGCCGCGUGUGUGAAGAAGGCCUUCGGGUUGUAAAGCACUUUCAGCGGGGAGGAAGGCGUCAAGGUUAAUAACCUUGGCAAUUGACGUUACCGACAGAAGAAGCACCGGCUAACUCCGUGCCAGCAGCCGCGGUAAUACGGAGGGUGCAAGCGUUAAUCGGAAUUACUGGGCGUAAAGCGCACGCAGGCGGUUGAUUGAGUCAGAUGUGAAAUCCCCGGGCUUAACCCGGGAAUUGCAUCUGAUACUGGUCAGCUAGAGUCUUGUAGAGGGGGGUAGAAUUCCAUGUGUAGCGGUGAAAUGCGUAGAGAUGUGGAGGAAUACCGGUGGCGAAGGCGGCCCCCUGGACAAAGACUGACGCUCAGGUGCGAAAGCGUGGGGAGCAAACAGG
rnacentral:rRNA from 1 species